rnacentral:rRNA from 1 species
CCCGCUGACCGCUCUGGAGACAGAGCUUCCCUUCGGGGCGGCGGUGACAGGUGGUGCAUGGUUGUCGUCAGCUCGUGUCGUGAGAUGUUGGGUUAAGUCCCGCAACGAGCGCAACCCUUAUCUUUAGUUGCCAGCAUUCAGUUGGGCACUCUAGAGAGACUGCCGUCGACAAGACGGAGGAAGGCGGGGAUGACGUCAAAUCAUCAUGCCCCUUAUGACCUGGGCUACACACGUGCUACAAUGGUUGGUACAACGGGAUGCUACCUCGCGAGAGGACGCCAAUCUCUUAAAACCAAUCUCAGUUCGGAUUGUAGGCUGCAACUCGCCUACAUGAAGUCGGAAUCGCUAGUAAUCGCGGAUCAGCAUGCCGCGGUGAAUACGUUCCCGGGCCUUGUACACACCGCCCGUCACACCACGGGAGUUUGCAACACCCGAAGCCGGUGAGGUAACCGCAAGGAGCCAGCCGCCGAAGGUGGGGUAGAUGACUGGGGUGAAGUCGUAACAAGGUAUCCGUACCGGAAGGUGCGGCUGGGUCACCUC